CAGCCGCCGCGGUAAUACCGGCGGCCCGAGUGGCGGUCACUAUUAUUGGGCUUAAAGCGUCCGUAGCCGGGUUGGGAAGUCCUCCGGGAAAUCUGGCCGCUUAACGGUCAGAAUGCCGGAGGAUACUCCCAGCCUAGGGAGCGGGAGAGGCCGAGGGUAUUCCCGGAGUAGGGGUGAAAUCCUAUAAUCCCGGGAGGACCACCUGUGGCGAAGGCGCUCGGCUGGAACGCGUCCGACGGUGAGGGACGAAGGCCAGGGGAGCAAACCGGAUUAGAUACCCGGGUAGUCCUGGCGGUAAACGAUGCGGGCUAGGUGUUGGGUGGGCUUAGAGCCCACCCAGUGCCGCAGGGAAGCCGUUAAGCCCGCCGCCUGGGGAGUACGGCCGCAAGGCUGAAACUUAAAGGAAUUGGCGGG
rnacentral:rRNA from 1 species